AACGAACGCUGGCGGCAGGCUUAACACAUGCAAGUCGAGCGCCCCGCAAGGGGAGCGGCAGACGGGUGAGUAACGCGUGGGAAUCUACCCAUCUCUACGGAAUAACGCAUGGAAACGUGUGCUAAUACCGUAUACGUCCUUCGGGAGAAAGAUUUAUCGGAGAUGGAUGAGCCCGCGUUGGAUUAGCUAGUUGGUGGGGUAAAGGCCUACCAAGGCGACGAUCCAUAGCUGGUCUGAGAGGAUGAUCAGCCACACUGGGACUGAGACACGGCCCGGACACCUACGGGAGGCAGAAGUGGGGAAUAGUGGACAAUGGGCGCAAGCCUGAUCCAGCCAUGCCGCGUGAGUGAUGAAAGCCCUAGGGUUGUAAAGCUCUUUCACCGGUGAAGAUAAUGACGGUAACCGGAGAAGAAGCCCCGGCUAACUUCGUGCCAGCCGCCGCCGUAACAC
rnacentral:rRNA from 1 species